GAGAGCUUGCUCUCUGGGUGGCGAGUGGCGGACGGGUGAGGAAUACAUCGGAAUCUACCUAGUCGUGGGGGAUAACGUAGGGAAACUUACGCUAAUACCGCAUACGACCUUCGGGUGAAAGUGGGGGACCUUCGGGCCUCACGCGAUUAGAUGAGCCGAUGUCGGAUUAGCUAGUUGGAGGGGUAAUGGCCCACCAAGGCGACGAUCCGUAGCUGGUCUGAGAGGAUGAUCAGCCACACUGGAACUGAGACACGGUCCAGACUCCUACGGGAGGCAGCAGUGGGGAAUAUUGGACAAUGGGCGCAAGCCUGAUCCAGCCAUACCGCGUGGGUGAAGAAGGCCUUCGGGUUGUAAAGCCCUUUUGUUGGGAAAGAAAUCCUGUCGGUUAAUAACCGGUAGGGAUGACGGUACCCAAAGAAUAAGCACCGGCUAACUUCGUGCCAGCAGCCGCGGUAAUACGAAGGGUGCAAGCGUUACUCGGAAUUACUGGGCGUAAAGCGUGCGUAGGUGGUUGUUUAAGUCUGCUGUGAAAGCCCUGGGCUCAACCUGGGAAUUGCAGUGGAUACUGGGCGACUAGAGUGUGGUAGAGGAUAGUGGAAUUUCCGGUGUAGCAGUGAAAUGCGUAGAGAUCGGAAGGAACAUCUGUGGCGAAGGCGACUAUCUGGGCCAACACUGACACUGAGGCACGAAAGCAUGGGGAGCAAACAGGAUUAGAUACCCUGGUAGUCCACGCCCUAAACGAUGCGAACUGGAUGUUGGGUUCAACUUGGAACCCAGUAUCGAAGCUAACGCGUUAAGUUCGCCGCCUGGGGAGUACGGUCGCAAGACUGAAACUCAAAGGAAUUGACGGGGGCCUGCACAAGCGGUGGAGUAUGUGGUUUAAUUCGAUGCAACGCGAAGAACCUUACCU
rnacentral:rRNA from 1 species